rnacentral:rRNA from 1 species
GUAGUCCACGCCCUAAACGAUGCGAACUGGAUGUUGGGUGCAACUAGGCACUCAGUAUCGAAGCUAACGCGUUAAGUUCGCCGCCUGGGGAGUACGGUCGCAAGACUGAAACUCAAAGGAAUUGACGGGGGCCCGCACAAGCGGUGGAGUAUGUGGUUUAAUUCGAUGCAACGCGAAGAACCUUACCUGGCCUUGACAUGUCCGGAACCCCUGAGAGAUCGGGGGGUGCCUUCGGGAACCGGAACACAGGUGCUGCAUGGCUGUCGUCAGCUCGUGUCGUGAGAUGUUGGGUUAAGUCCCGCAACGAGCGCAACCCUUGUCCUUAGUUGCCAGCACGUAAUGGUGGGAAC